CUGCAGGGCAGUGUCAACAGGAAAGAAAGGGAGUGGCCCACACUCAGUUAGUAGAAGUACAUGCUUAUACAGAAGGCCUCUGACAGCUUCAGAAAGAGUUAUGUCACUCAUUCUCCAAUCAAGCUGGCAUUUAAAAUAAGAAACACAGACAAAGCCUUCUACAUGUAAGAACAACUGGCACAUAUUUGUUUGUGUGUGGCCGUGGAGUCUGAUGCGAGGAUAAAAUUGGAUAAACACACAUCUCCCUCCCUGGACAGGAUACAACUGUGAUAAAGAAAGGAUCUAAACUAGGAGGAUUUGACACAGAUGGCUAAACCCCAAAACUCUCCAGCUGCCCUUGAAUGUCGGGGACUGACUUAAAUGAAUAAGUAGAGCGGGUUCCUUGCACCUCUUCAAAAGCUACUCCUGAGGGUCAGAGAGCCCUCCACCAUGAUGUGAGACGUGGCACUGGGAAUGUGGGCUGUGGCAGCUGGCUGGGGGAAUCAGCAGAAACCAGGGACUCCUUUUGCACAUGCAAAAGUACCUUCUGUCCAAACAGCUGUUGCCUCCCUUGAUUCGGCCCAGUUCCCCUAGCAGCACGUGUCAAGCUAUGAAAACUGUAAAUUGACCUUAGCUGCUUAUAAUAACGUAGCUUAAAUUUUCAUGAGUUAUAGAGGCUGCAAGAUUAGAAACAAGAUCCAAUUCAAGUCUUAUGAGAACUUCACUCAGAAAGUAGCUCCUUCAAGUAACUCACUGCCACCUAACAUUUUGGAAGGCUGUCUAUAUACAACAUCCAAAUGUCAACAUCAAGUCAUACAUACAUCACUGACUGCAUCGGUGACUGCACGGUGAUGGAAGUGGUCUGGCCGGUCUGGGAUUGAUCUCCAGAUUCCUAAUUGACUCAUGUACUUUUCUUUAUA